AGGACGAACGCUGGCGGCGUGCCUAACACAUGCAAGUCGAACGCGCUCCAUUCGGUAGCAAUACUGAUGAAGAGUGAGUGGCGAACGGGUGAGUAGCACGUGAGCAACCUGCCCCGAAGACUGGGACAACACCGGGAAACCGGUGCUAAUACCGGAUACCCUUAUUGGACCGCAUGAUCCGAUAAGGAAAUGGAUUCCGCUUCGGGAGGGGCUCGCGGCCUAUCAGCUUGUUGGUGGGGUAAUGGCCUACCAAGGCUUCGACGGGUAGCUGGUCUGAGAGGACGAUCAGCCACACUGGGACUGAGACACGGCCCAGACUCCUACGGGAGGCAGCAGUGGGGAAUCUUGCGCAAUGGGCGAAAGCCUGACGCAGCAACGCCGCGUGGAGGACGAAUGCUUUCUGAGUUGUAAACUCCUUUCAGCAGGGACGAUAGUGACGGUACCUGCAGAAGAGCACCGGCCAACUACGCGCCAGCAGCCG
rnacentral:rRNA from 1 species